AAUAGCCUAACGGCUGAACCAGCAACUUGGAGGAACGUAUAGCGAAAGCUAGUUGCAUUUAAUUUAGCGAAAGCUAAAUUGGUGCAGAAUUGAUUCUAUCAAAUAAAGUUCUAGAUAGGUUAUGAUGAUGACAUUUCCUAUCUAUGUGUCUUGACCAAAUUACGUGCCAGCAGUCGCGGUAAUACGUAGAAGACUAGUGUUAUUCAUCUUUAAUAGGUUUAAAGGGUACCUAGACGGUAAAUCCAGUCCAAAAAGGAUACUAAUUUGCUAGAGUUUAAUGUGAGGGGGCACUAAAGUACUGAUAAGUGUAGAGAUGAAAUUCUGUGAUACAAUAUAAGGACAGGUAAAGGCGAAAGCAUCUCAUUAUGUAAUAACUGACGUUGAGGGACGAAGGCUAGGAGAAGCAAAAAGGAUUAGAUACCCAAGUAGUCUUAGCAGAAAAUUAUGAAUGUCAUAGGAUGGAAAUAGUGGAUAACCAUUUUUUUUCUAUAAAUGAAAGUGUAAGCAUUCCACCUCGAGAGUAAUUUGGCAACAUUGGAACUGAAAUCAUUAGACCGUUUCUGAAACAAGUAGUGAAGUAUGUUGUUUAAUUUGAUGGUCCGCAAAAAACCUUACCACAAUUUGAAUAGAAAUUUUUAUUUUAUACAAGCGCUGCACGGUUGUCUCCAGUUAAUGUCGUGAGAUCUUGGUUAGUUCCAUUAAAUUAACGUAAACCCUUACUUUAUUUAUAUAUAGAGUAGUUCACCGCUAGAUUGGAUGUGAUAACAGGGACUAAGACAAGUCAUCAUGGCCUUAAUAUUGUGGGCUAUAGACGUGCCACAUAUGCCUUACAAAGGGAUGCAAAAUUGCGAAAUUGAGCUAAUCCCCUAAAAAUGGAUAAAAACUUAAU
rnacentral:rRNA from 1 species